CCUUCCAAGGCCAUGUAAGGCAACACUGGAAAAGGGCUUGUGUCUGGCAUGGUGCCAUACAAUACCUUCAUCAAUUAUCUGCCUACACACAUCCCUGAAGCCACUGAAAUUUACAGAAUUGUUCUGUUGGAGACCUGCAAUUGUCAAAGAGUCUGGGCAGCCGGGAAAUGAACAAAACAGCCUCUGUCUACACUCAUGUGUCCCGGCAUCUAAGUAACAGAAGUCGUUCCGAUACUUCCAAGCUGCUACCAACCACUGCGCCUUUGCUGCUGGUGUGUUCCCACCUGUACUGACUUCUUUUGUCAAUCUGACACAAACCAGAGUCUCCUGAGAAGACAGACCUUCAGUUGAAGAAUUGCCUCUGUUAGAUCCAUGGCCUAUAGGCAUGUCUGUGGAGUUCUUCCUUGACUAAUGUUUGCUGUGAGCAGAUCCAACUUAGCAUGGGUGGUGCCAGCCCAAGGUAGGUGAUCCUGUGUUGUUAAGGAAGCCAGCUGAGCAAGCCAGUAAGCAGUGUUCCUCCUCCGUCUCUGCUUCACUUCCUGCCUCCGGCUUCCGGCCUUGGUGUCCCUCAAUGAU